rnacentral:rRNA from 1 species
UGGGGAAUUUUGGACAAUGGGCGAAAGCCUGAUCCAGCAAUGCCGCGUGUGUGAAGAAGGCCUUCGGGUUGUAAAGCACUUUUGUCCGGAAAGAAAUCCUUGGCUCUAAUACAGUCGGGGGAUGACGGUACCGGAAGAAUAAGCACCGGCUAACUACGUGCCAGCAGCCGCGGUAAUACGUAGGGUGCAAGCGUUAAUCGGAAUUACUGGGCGUAAAGCGUGCGCAGGCGGUUUGCUAAGACCGAUGUGAAAUCCCCGGGCUCAACCUGGGAACUGCAUUGGUGACUGGCAGGCUAGAGUAUGGCAGAGGGGGGUAGAAUUCCACGUGUAGCAGUGAAAUGCGUAGAGAUGUGGAGGAAUACCGAUGGCGAAGGCAGCCCCCUGGGCCAAAUACUGACGCUCGUGCACGAAAAGCGUGGGGGAGCAAAACAGGAUUAGAUACCCCUGGUAGUCCACGCCCUAAACGAUGUCAACUAGUUGUUGGGGAUUCAUUUCCUUAGUAACGUAGCUAACGCGUGAAGUUGACCGCCUGGGGAGUACGGUCGCAAGAUUAAAACUUAAAUGAAUUGAC